AACUCCGAUUGCGAAGGCAGCGUACCGGCGCCACACUGACGCUGAGGCACGAAAGCGUGGGGAUCGAACAGGAUUAGAUACCCUGGUAGUCCACGCAGUAAACGAUGAAUGCUGGUUGUCCGGGUCGAAUGAGAUCUGGGCGGCGAAGCGAAAGCGAUAAGCAUUCCACCUGGGGAGUACGCCGGCAACGGUGAAACUCAAAGGAAUUGACGGGGGCCCGCACAAGCGGAGGAACAUGUGGUUUAAUUCGAUGAUACGCGAGGAACCUUACCCGGGCUCAAACGGGAGCGGAAUGGACCAGAGACGGUUCAGCCUACGGGCCGCUUCCGAGGUGCUGCAUGGUUGUCGUCAGCUCGUGCCGUGAGGUGUCGGCUUAAGUGCCAUAACGAGCGCAACCCCCGCCGGCAGUUGCUAACGGGCAAUGCCGAGGACUCUGCCGGGACUGCCGCCGCAAGGCGAGAGGAAGGCGGGGAUGACGUCAAAUCAGCACGGCCCUUACGUCCGGGGCGACACACGUGUUACAAUGGGCGGUACAGCGGGAAGCCAGGCGGCGACGCCGAGCGGAACCCGAAAGCCGUUCUCAGUUCGGAUCGGAGUCUGCAACCCGACUCCGUGAAGCUGGAUUCGCUAGUAAUCGCGCAUCAGCCAUGGCGCGGUGAAUACGUUCCCGGGCCUUGUACACACCGCCCGUCAAGCCAUGGGAGCCGGGGGUGCUUGAAGUGCGUCGCCGCGAGGCGCGCCCUAGAGCAAAACCGGUGACUGGGGCUAAGUCGUAACAAGGUAGCCGUAA
rnacentral:rRNA from 1 species